rnacentral:tmRNA from 1 species
GGGGGCGAUUUUGGUUUCGACGCUGAUAUUGAGGCCAAAGGUGCAUGUCGAGCAACACAAAAAGGCUCGUAAAAUAAAUAUUGUAAAUUUUAGUUGCAAACGAUAGCAGCUUCAAUGGUGGUGUAGUACAAGCAGCUGCCUAACGGCAAAUGUUUUGUUUUACACGCUGCCGCUUAAUAACCGGCAACACCCUACCGACCAGAUUCGCUUAUCGGUUUGAAUCGGUAGUCAGAUAGGUAAGAUCGCAAUCAUUGCAUGGCUCGUGUCGUGGUUGUUAAAACAUAGGGCUCGCCGUUAAAUAAUCCUGACUGCUGGAGUGUUAACGGUUAAAACAAAACGCAGCUCUAAACAUGUAGAGCCGAUGGAUGAGAGUCAACGGACGCGGGUUCGAUCCCCGCCGCCUCCAUUU